AAAAAAAAAAUUUAGAACUUAGAAGGGGGAAGCUGUAGAAACCACGACACUUUUUCGUUUCCUUCUAAACUCCAUCUUCCUUUCUUUCUUUUCAUUCAACCUUCAACUCGAUUAAAACUAAUAAUUUCUUUAUCAACCAUCAUCACUUCAAUUGUUGUUCAUCUUUCUUCAAUGCUUUCUCAGUUUUUGUGGGUAUUUCAAAGAGAGAGGAUUGAGUUUUAUACUUGCAACUUUCGGGUCGAAAAUCGGAUCAAGAAGACGGAAUUUUGUGUCUUUUUACACUCUUCUACGUUUUAAUUGCGUUAUUAAUCAAAUCGCGGGUUCGUAGAAGAACCCUUUUGACUUGUAAUUGAGAUUGGUUGAUAGUGGUUUGCUAAUAAGGGCUUGAUGGUGACUAGCUUAUAUUGGGGUGAGAGCGUUGAUUUCACCUAGAUGUAGAUUUAUUAAAGUUAAGACUUCAGCUACAAUAGUUUAGAAUUAUGGUUUGUUAUAGGAGUGUAUUAAUUAAUUACAUUUCCUUUUAGUUGUAAUAGUUAAUAAUUAAUUUAUGUAUUAG